UACGAAGGGAGCUAGCGUUGUUCGGAAUUACUGGGCGUAAAGGGCGCGUAGGCGGUUCGACAAGUUGGAUGUGAAAGCCCAGGGCUCAACCCUGGAAUUGCAUUCAAGACUGUUUUACUUGAAUUCGGUAGAGGUGAGUGGAAUUCCCAGUGUAGAGGUGAAAUUCGUAGAGAUUGGGAAGAACACCGGUGGCGAAGGCGGCUCACUGGACCGACAUUGACGCUGAGGCGCGAAAGCGUGGGGAGCAAACAGG
rnacentral:rRNA from 1 species